rnacentral:rRNA from 1 species
AACGAACGCUGGCGGCAUGCCUAACACAUGCAAGUCGAACGAGACCUUCGGGUCUAGUGGCGCACGGGUGCGUAACGCGUGGGAACCUGCCCUUAGGUUAGGAAUAACUCCCCGAAAGGGGUGCUAUUACCGGAUAAUGUCUUCGGACCAAAGAUUUAUCGCCUUUUGAUGGGUCCGCGUUGGAUUAGAUAGUUGGUCGGGUAAAAGACUAUCAAGGCGACGAUCCAUAGCUGGUGUGAGAGGAUGAUCAGCCACACUGGGACUGAGACACGGCCCAGACUCCUACGGAAGGCAGGAGGGGGGAAUAUGGGACGCUGGGCGAAAGCAUGAUCCAGCAGGGCCGCGUGGGUGAGGAAGGCCUUAGGGUUGUAAAGCUCUUUUACCCGGGAUGAUAAUGACAGUACCGGGAGAAUAAGCGCCGGCUAACUCCGUG